AUUGAACGCUGGCGGCAGGCCUAACACAUGCAAGUCGAACGGUAACAGGAAGAAGCUUGCUUCUUUGCUGACGAGUGUCGGGCGGGUGAGUAAUGUCUGUGAAACUGCCUGAUGGAGGGGGAUAACUACUGGAAACGGUAGCUAAUACCGCAUAACGUCGCAAGACCAAAAAGCGGGACCUCCGGGCCUCUUGCCAGCGGAUGUGCCCAGAUGGGAUUAGCUAGUUGGGGGGGUAACGGCGCACCAAGGCGACGAUCCCUAGCUGGUCUGAGAGGAUGACCAGCCACACUGGAACUGAGACACGGUCCAGACUCCUACGGGAGGCAGCAGUGGGGAAUAUUGCACAAUGGGCGCAAGCCUGAUGCAGCCAUGCCGCGUGUAUGAAGAAGGCCUUCGGGUUGUAAAGUACUUUCAGCGGGGAGGAAGGGAGUAAAGUUAAUACCUUUCCUCAUUGACGUUACCCGCAGAAGAAGCACCGGCUAACUCCGUG
rnacentral:rRNA from 1 species